rnacentral:rRNA from 1 species
AAUCAACGCUGGCGGCGUGCCUCAGACAUGCAAGUCGAACGAUUAAAGCUCUCUUCGGAGAGUGCAUAGAGUGGCGCACGGGUGAGUAACACGUAAGUAAUCUACCCUCGAGUGGGGAAUAACGUCCGGAAACGGACGCUAAUACCGCAUAAUGCAGCGGCACCGCAAGGUGACAGUUGUUAAAGGAGAAAUUCGCUUGAGGAGGAGCUUGCGGUAGAUUAGCUAGUUGGUAAGGUAAUGGCUUACCAAGGCUACGAUCUAUAACCGGUCUAAGAGGACGGUCGGUCACACUGACACUGAAUAACGGGUCAGACUCCUACGGGAGGCAGCAGUCGGGAAUUUUGGGCAAUGGGGGAAACCCUGACCCAGCAACGCCGCGUGAAGGAUGAAGUAUUUCGGUAUGUAAACUUCGAAAGAAUAGGAAGAAUCAAUGACGGUACUAUUUAUAAGGUCCGGCUAACUACGUG